UUCUGGUUGAUCCUGCCGGAGAUCACAGCUAUCUGAAUUCGACUAAGGCAUGCUAGUCUUGGGUUAAACUAAGGCGUACAGCUCAGUAACACGUAGUUAACCUGCCCUUGAACCAGAGAUAAUCUCGCUAACGUGAGGCCGAUGCUCUGUUACAUGACUUUUCCUGGAAACGGUCUGUCAUGGAAUCAAGGAUGGGACUGCGGCCUAUUAGCUUGUUGUCGGAGUAACGUCCUGGCAAGGCUAUAAUGGGUACGGGCCUUGAGAGAGGAAGCCCGGAGAUGGAAUCUGAGACAAGAUUCCAGGUCCUACGGGAUGCAGCAGCUGCGAAACUUUCGCAAUUCACGCAAGUGUGACGAAGGAAUUCAGAGUGCUUUCACUUCGGUGGAAGCUUUUGUUAAGCCCAAAUCACUUAACGAAUAAGUGGUGGGUAAGACGGGUGCCAGCCGCCGCGGUAAUACCCGCGCCACGAGUGGUGAUCGUUAUUAUUGGGUUUAGAGCGUUCGUAGCCGGGUUCGGUAAGUUCUUAAUGAAAUCCUAUAGUCAACUAUAGGGCUUGUUAGGGACACUACCGGACUUGAGACCGGGAGAGGCUAAGGGUAUUAUAUGAGUAGGGGUAAAAUCCUGUAAUUCAUAUAAGACCACCUGUGGCGAAGGCGCUUAGCUAGGACGGAUCUGACGGUGAGGGACGAAAGCUAGGGGAGCGAAGGGGAUUAGAUACCCCCGUAGUCCUAGCUGUAAACGAUGCCCGUUAGACAUUGGGUAUCUCACGGGGAUACCCAGAGUCGUAGGUAAACCGUUAAACGGGCCACCUGGGGAGUACGGUCGCAAGGCUGAAACUUAAGGGAAUUGGCGGGGGAGCACACAAGGGGUGGAGGCUGCGGUUUAAUUCGACUCAACGCGAGAAACCUUACCAGCGGCGACAGCAGAGUGAAGGUCAGGCUAAUGGUCUUACCAGACAAGCUGAGCGGUGGUGCAUGGCCGUCGUCAGUUCGUGCCGUGAGGUGUCGUCUUAAGUGACGUAACGAACAAGACCCGAGCCAUAUGUUGCAACUGUCCUAGUGGCAGGCACUCAUAUGGGACUGCUUGCGACGAGUGAGAGGAAGGAUCGGUCGACGGCAGGUCAGUAUGCUCCUAAUCCGCUGGGUUACACGCGGCCUACAAUGACCGGGACAAUGGGAUGCGACUCCGAAAGGAGGAGCUAAUCUCGAAACCCGGCCUCAGUUCAGAUCGAGGGCUGCAACUCGCCCUCGUGAAGCCGAAAUCCCUAGUAGUCGCUGGUCACUAUCUAGCGGCGAAUAUGUUCCUGCUCCUUGCACACACCGCCCGUCGCUCCAUCCGAGUGUGCUAAAAAUGAGGUUUGGUCAAAUUGGUCAUAUCGAGUUUCUAGUAUGCGAGGAGGGAGAAGUCGUAACAAGGUAGCC
rnacentral:rRNA from 1 species